UACGAAGGGGGCUAGCGUUGUUCGGAUUUACUGGGCGUAAAGCGCACGUAGGCGGAUCGUUAAGUCGGGGGUGAAAUCCUGGAGCUCAACUCCAGAACUGCCUUCGAUACUGGCGAUCUUGAGUCCGGAAGAGGUGAGUGGAACUCCUAGUGUAGAGGUGAAAUUCGUAGAUAUUCGGAAGAACACCAGUGGCGAAGGCGGCUCACUGGUCCGGUACUGACGCUGAGGUGCGAAAGCGUGGGGAGCAAACAGG
rnacentral:rRNA from 1 species